GAUGAACGCUGGCGGCGUGCUUAACACAUGCAAGUCGAGCGAAGCGAUUUUGCGGAAGCCUUCGGGUGGAAGUAAGAUUGACUGAGCGGCGGACGGGUGAGUAACGCGUGGGUGACCUGCCUCAUACAGGGGGAUAACAGUUAGAAAUGACUGCUAAUACCGCAUAAGCGCACAGUGCUGCAUGGCACAGUGUGAAAAACUCCGGUGGUAUGAGAUGGACCCGCGUCUGAUUAGGUAGUUGGUAGGGUAACGGCCUACCAAGCCGACGAUCAGUAGCCGACCUGAGAGGGUGACCGGCCACAUUGGGACUGAGACACGGCCCAAACUCCUACGGGUGGCAG
rnacentral:rRNA from 1 species